rnacentral:rRNA from 1 species
GCGCCCGCAGCCGCGGUAAUACGUAGGUCCCGAGCUCUGUCCGGAUUUAUUGGGCGUAAAGCGAGCGCAGGCGGUUAGAUAAGUCUGAAGUUAAAGGGCUGUGGCUUAACCAUAGUACGCUUUGGAAACUGUUUAACUUGAGUGCAAGAGGGGAGAGUGGAAUUCCAUGUGUAGCGGUGAAAUGCGUAGAUAUAUGGAGGAACACCGGUGGCGAAAGCGGCUCUCUGGCUUGUAACUGACGCUGAGGCUCGAAAGCGUGGGGAGCAAACAGGAUUAGAUACCCUGGUAGUCC